AUGACUCCCCUCCACAUACUGCCCGGGCUUCUCCUCCUUCUCACUCCUCGGUGCUCCUCUGCAGCUGCAAAUGGAGACAAGCUGACGGCAGGCCAAGCGCUCGCUGUUGGCAGCAAGCUCGUCUCCAGAAACGGCAAGUUCGCGCUUGGCUUCUUCCAGCCAGCAGUUGCGGCGGGUAGCAUCAGUAAGUCGUCUCACAAUGUCACCUCCCCAAGCUCAGGCUGGUAUCUGGGCAUAUGGUUCAAUAAGAUCCCGGUUUUCACUACUGUGUGGGUCGCUAAUAGGGAGGAGCCCAUCGUCCACCACAACUUCAACCUAACACAGCUCAAGAUAGCAAGCGAUGGCAAUCUUGUCAUCGUAGUAAACCAUGCCGGCAACACGGAGUCUGUAGUUUGGUCCACUCACAUCGCCAAUAAUAUGACACAAACCAGCAAAAAAAACACCCUCACCACUAGUGUUGCCCUUCUCUUGAACAAUGGAAACCUUGCCCUCACAUCUGAACAGAAGGUGUUGUGGCAGAGCUUCGACUACCCAAUAGAUGUCGUGCUUCCUGGCUCUAAGUUUGGCCGUAACAAGAUCACUAGUUUUAGCAGCCAACUCAUCUCAAAGAAGAGCCUCAUUGAUCCUGGUUUAGGGUCAUACAGUCUUGACCUAGAAGAUAUCAAGGGGUUCGUCCUCAAGCGCCGCAAGAAUCCAUCAAUAGUGUAUUGGCUUUAUGAAUCCUCCACAACAUCAGCAAUGAAUCUUUUUCCACUAGCCCAGGCACUGCUAGAUUUGAAUCCUCAGACCAAAGGUUUACUUAACAUAACAUAUGUUGAUAACAACCAAGAGGAGUACUAUAUGGGCACUUUACGAGAUGAAUCCUCGGCUUCCAUAUUUGGCUUACUAGACAUCUCUGGUCAGAUAAAGAUGAAUCUUUGGUCACAAGCCAGCCAGUCUUGGCAGACAAUAUAUGCCCAACCAGACGAUCCAUGUGAUCCGCCUGCAACCUGUGGACCGUUCACAAUCUGUAGCGGCAAGCCACAUCCAUCAUGUGAUUGUAUGGAGAACUUCUCUCAGAAGUCCCCGCAUGAUUGGGAGUUUGAUGAUCGAACAGAAGGAUGCAUUAGAAAUACACCAUUACAUUGCACUCAUGAGAUAAACAUGACAAGUUCAACAGACAUAUUCCACCCCACUGCUCAAGUUCAAUAUCCGUACAACUCGCAAAACAUAGUCAGUGCUACCACCCAAAGAAAAUGCGAAGAAGUUUGUCUCAGUUCCUGCUCCUGCACUGCUUAUUCCUAUAACGAUAGAAGAUGUUCUGUCUGGAAUGGAGAAUUACUUAAUGUAAUUCUGGCAAAAGGCAUUGAUAACACCGGAGAUCAUGUUCUCUACCUUCGCCUUGCCGCCAAAGAUUUGCUGCCAAGUUUGAGAAAAAACAAAAGAAAACCAAAUGUUGGAGUUGUUAUUGCAUCCAGUAUUAUUGGUUUUGGAUUACUAAUGUUCAUGCUAUUGUUACUGAUUUGGAGGAACAAAUUCAAGCGUUGUAGUUUUCUAUCAAUAAGCUAUGACAAUCAAGGUAGUUCUGGUGGGAUUAUAGCCUUUAGAUACACGGAUUUAGUUCGUGCUACUAAGAACUUUUCAGAAAAGCUGGGUGGAGGUGGUUUUGGUUCUGUAUACAGGGGAUUAUUAAGUGACUCGGAGACUAGUGUAGCAGUUAAAAGGCUUGAUGUUGCCCAUCAAGCAGGAGAGAAGCAAUUCAGGGCUGAGGUGAGCUCAAUUGGAUUGAUCCAACACAUUAACCUAGUCAAACUUAUUGGUUUCUGUUGUGAAGGUGAUCAUAGGUUACUUGUGUAUGAACACAUAGUAAAUGGGUCUCUUGAUAGUCAUCUAUUUAAGGUGAGCAAUAAUGGUGAUGCCGCUACCCUAAAUUGGAAUAACAGAUACCAAAUAACCCUAGGAGUUGCUAGAGGAUUGUACUACUUGCAUCAAAGUUGCCGUGAGUGCAUUAUACACUGUGAUAUUAAGCCAGAGAACAUAUUGGUAGAUGGGUCAUUUCUUCCUAAAGUUGCAGACUUUGGGCUGGCAGCGUGUGUGGGAAGGGACUUUAGCCGAAUCCUGACAAGUUUUAGAGGAACCAUCGGUUAUCUUGCCCCGGAGUGGCUUAGCGGAGUUGCAAUCACGCCAAAAGUCGAUGUUUACGCCUUUGGCAUGGUGUUGUUGGAAAUCAUAUCAGGAAGGAGGAAUUCAGCACAUGAAACGUCAUACAACACCAGCAACAAUAGCAGUAACCAGCAUGUUGAAUAUUUCCCCGUGCAAGCCAUCAGCAAGCUUCAUAGCGGUGAUGUGAAGAGUUUGGUGGAUCCACGGCUAAAUGGUGAAUUCAGUUUGGAAGAAGUUGAAAGGGUUUGCAAAGUUGCUUGUUGGUGCAUCCAAGAUAAUGAGUUUGAUCGUCCGACGAUGGGUGAAGUUGUCCGGGUUCUAGAGGGUCUACACGAGAUUGAUGUGCCCUCGAUGCCAAGACUACUUGCAGCUAUUACAAAACAAUCUGGUGUUGCAAUGUAA
rnacentral:rRNA from 1 species